rnacentral:rRNA from 1 species
GACGAACGCUGGCGGCGUGCUUAACACAUGCAAGUCGAACGGAAAGGCUCCAGUUUGCUGGAGUACUCGAGUGGCGAACGGGUGAGUAACACGUGGGUAAUCUGCCCUGCACUUUGGGAUAACCCCUGGAAACUGGGUCUAAUACCGGAUAUGACCUCCUUCCUUAUGGGGUUUGGUGGAAAGUUUUUCGGUGUAGGAUGAGCCCGCGGCCUAUCAGCUUGUUGGUGGGGUGAUGGCUUACCAAGGCGACGACGGGUAGCCGGCCUGAGAGGGUGAGCGGCCACAUUGGGACUGAGAUACGGCCCAGACUCCUAAGGGAGGCAGCAGUGGGGAAUAUUGCACAAUGGGCGGAAGCCUGAUGCAGCAACGCCGCGUGAGGGAUGACGGCCUUCGGGUUGUAAACCUCUUUCAGCAGGGACGAAGCGUAAGUGACGGUACAUGCAAAAGAAGCACCGGCUAACUAUGUG